UACGGAGGGAGCUAGCGUUAUUCGGAAUUACUGGGCGUAAAGCGCACGUAGGCGGCUUUGUAAGUUAGAGGUGAAAGCCUGGAGCUCAACUCCAGAAUUGCCUUUAAGACUGCAUCGCUUGAAUCCAGGAGAGGUGAGUGGAAUUCCGAGUGUAGAGGUGAAAUUCGUAGAUAUUCGGAAGAACACCAGUGGCGAAGGCGGCUCACUGGACUGGUAUUGACGCGUGAGG
rnacentral:rRNA from 1 species